GUGGGGAAUAUUGGGCAAUGGGCGAAAGUCUGACGGAGCAACGCCGCGUGAGUGAUGAAGGUCUUCGGAUUGUAAAGCUCUGUUAAUCGGGACGAAAGAGCCUAGUGUGAAUAAUGCUAGGAAGUGACGGUACCGGAAUAGAAAGCCACGGCUAACUACGUGCCAGCAGCCGCGGUAAUACGUAGGUGGCAAGCGUUGUCCGGAAUUAUUGGGCGUAAAGCGCGCGCAGGCGGAUCUGCCAGUCUGUCUUAAAAGUUCGGGGCUUAACCCCGUGAUGGGAUGGAAACUACAGAUCUAGAGUAUCGGAGAGGAAAGUGGAAUUCCUAGUGUAGCGGUGAAAUGCGUAGAUAUUAGGAAGAACACCAGUGGCGAAGGCGACUUUCUGGACGAAAACUGACGCUGAGGCGCGAAAGCCAGGGGAGCGAACGGGAUUAGAAACCCCGGUAGUCC
rnacentral:rRNA from 1 species